rnacentral:ncRNA from 1 species
GAACCAAGGGGUCGGGACGCUCUGUUUCAAGGAGCGACCUAGGGGUACAAGGAGUACCUCCUUCGAGGACCAGGUUCGGCGAAGG